ACACCGGCCGCACCUCUGACAGUUUUAACCUCUCGGGUUAACUGGCUUGUGGCCGCCAAACGUUCAUAGCGACGUGGCUUUUUGAUCCUUCAGUGUCGGCUCUUUCUAUCAUUGUGAAGCAAAAUUCACCAAGCGUAGGAUUGUUCACCCUUUCAAGGGAACGUGAGCUGGGUUUGGACCGUCGUGAGACAGGUUAGUUUUACCCUACUGGUGUGUGCUUAUAGUCGCUAUCUUAACGGAAUUCCUGUGCAGUACGAGAGGAACCACAGGUACGGACCACUGGCUCAAUACUAGUCCGACUGGACUUUGGUAUGACGCUACGUCCGCUGGAUUAUGCCUGAACGCCUCUAAUGUCGUAGCCAAUCCGAGCUGAUAGCGCUUCUCAAACCCAUUAGGUGUUCGGAAGCUAGCGGGCCUAAAAACCCUCUGAGAUCCGUUGGAGUCUGCCUUUGCAGCCCGGCGUCUCAUCCCGCUAUACCUAGGCCGCAAUGAGUGGAGUUCGCUGCACGUGUUAGUACCGUAACUGGGAACGCCGUUGGCUUGAGCUCUGCCCAAUGUGGAUAUACCUAGUUUCGACACCUAUCAACCGCCCGCAAACGACGGGAUUUCAGGCUGGGAGUUGCGAGUUGUAGAGAUGCGUUCGCAUCGAUCCUCUCAGGCGACCCAUGCUUGGUGGUUUG
rnacentral:rRNA from 1 species